rnacentral:rRNA from 1 species
UACGUAGGGUGCGAGCGUUAAUCGGAAUUACUGGGCGUAAAGGGUGCGCAGGCGGUUAUAUAAGACAGAUGUGAAAUCCCCGGGCUCAACCUGGGAACUACGUUUGUGACUGUAUGACUAGAGUACGGUAGAGAGGGGUGGAAUUCCUGGUGUAGCAGUGAAAUGCGUAGAUAUCAGGAGGAACAUCGAUGGCGAAGGCAGCCCCUUGGACCUGUACUGACGCUCAUGCACGAAAGCGUGGGGAACAAACAGG